AUGAAGGAACCUGUCCACAUUGAAUUCAAGAAGGACGGCCUGAACUACAUGGAGAAACUCUUGCUUAAGAAAUACAGAAGAACUCCUGUUGAUCAAAUUUCUGGUAGUUGCGUUAAAGAUUCAAGGCCUGUACAGACACUGAGUGUACAUCAGGCUGUGACUGCAGAAGGGGGAGAAGGAGAUGAUGAUGUCGAUGACUUAACAGUUGAAGAGGUGAAGAGAUAUUGGACAUCUGUGUUUAGAGAACAAGUACCCAACACUGUUUCUGAAAGUGCAGAGUCAUCUUUGAAAAUUGAGUUCCUUGAUGAUUCUUAUGGCAAGGACUUGGAGGAAUCAUCUGACGUUUUGUUGAUGGAAGCUAGGGCUACGGGAAUGAAUAAGCAAGGAAAAGCUGAACCACUGAAGCAGUAUGAAAGAAAUCCUGUUUAUUCUAAAGAAGUUUCUCAAGAAAAAAUGCUUGACUGCAGUCGUCUUGAAAGAAAUGCAGUGCAAAAGGAGAGUAUUGAACUAAAGGCUAUGAGAAGGUCACUUAGCUCCUGUGAACUACCUGAGAAGUUCUCUAACCCUACUGAACUAACAAACAACAAAUAUCUCCUUGGGACACAAUUGCAGAAAAGCAAUAAAGAUUCACAAGAGCUGGUCAGUGUCUGCAAUAGUCAAAGUUUGGUUUUGCCUAUAAUUAUGAAGUCUUCAUUGGUAAAAUAUUUUAUCUUUGAUUGCUAA
rnacentral:lncRNA from 1 species